rnacentral:rRNA from 1 species
AGCGAAAUUUAGUAGCGAAGUAGCUGAUUUCACACUGUCAAGAAAAGUCUCUAUCGAGGUUAAAGGUACCCGUACCGCAAACCGACACAGGGGGGUGAGGAGAGUAUCCUAAGGCCAGCGAGAGAACGGUUGUUAAGGAACUCGGCAAAAUGACCCCGUAACUUAGGGAUAAGGGGUGCCACCAUCAGGUGGCCGCAGAGAAUAGGCCCAAGCGACUGU